GACAGAGAAUAACAGAGAUCUCAUCUCAAAGGGGGCCAGAGAUGGUGAAAGGAAGAAAGGGGAAAACCCAAGGCAGGUUCUCUGAGGAAAUGACUUUUAGGUUGAAACGGGGAGGAGGGGGAAUCCACCACCAGAGAAGGGAAUUGAGACCCACAAAGGUGAAGUAAUUGGCUCAGAGUUAAACAGCCUGACAACAGAAGAGACAAGCACCGCAUCUUCCGGUCUAAAAUCCCUCUCGAGGGUUCAGGAUACAGGAAAAGUAGUUAUGCCUGAAGAUAAGUUGCUGACUUCGCUUCUACUUCAGUCACCCCUUUCUGAUCUUCCCAAGAAGAAAUAAAGAAUGAACAUUAAGGACAAUUAUGAAGCAAUACCCACAAUAAAACAAGAAUGAGAUCAUUUUAUUAUUCAAGAGCUCCUGGUCUCCUUGUAACUUGUAACUCCUGGGCACAGUUACAAGUGCUGAAUUCUUGCGAGGAUGAACUCAAGAUACAAAAUAUGCUUGGCAACUCACCCCUGAGUGGCCACAGGCACACGCAGGAGUCGAACCCACCCACCUCUGCUGACAGUCAUGGGUCAAGC
rnacentral:lncRNA from 1 species